UGCGUAGGCGGAAUAUUAAGUCAGUGGUGCAAUCCUGCGGCUCAACCGUAGAACUGCCAUUGAUACUGAUAUUCUUGAAUGUAGUUGAGGUAGGCGGAAUGUGUAAUGUAGCGGUGAAAUGCUUAGAUAUUACACAGAACACCGAUUGCGAAGGCAGCUUACUAAACUAUGAUUGACGCUGAGGCACGAAAGCGUGGGGAGCGAACAGGAUUAGAUACCCUGGUAGUCC
rnacentral:rRNA from 1 species